rnacentral:rRNA from 1 species
GACGAACGCUGGCGGCGUGCUUUACACAUGCAAGUCGAACGGUGAAGGUGGAGCUUGCUCCGCCGGAUCAGUGGCGAACGGGUGAGUAACACGUGGGCAACCUGCCCCUAACUCUGGGAUAACUGCGGGAAACUGUAGCUAAUACCGGAUACGACCCUCGGAGGCAUCUCCUGGGGGUGGAAAGAAUUUCGGUCAAGGAUGGACUCGCGGCCUAUCAGCUAGUUGGUGAGGUAACGGCUCACCAAGGCGACGACGGGUAGCCGGCCUGAGAGGGUGACCGGCCACACUGGGACUGAGACACGGCCCAGACUCCUACGGGAGGCAGCAGUGGGGAAUAUUGCACAAUGGGCGCAAGCCUGAUGCAGCAACGCCGCGUGAGGGAUGACGGCCUUCGGGUUGUAAACCUCUUUUAGCAGGGAAGAAGCGAAAGUGACGGUACCUGCAGAAAAAGCACCGGCUAACUACGUGCCAGCCGCCGCAGUAA